GUUCCUCGUGGGGGCUUUUCUUUCCCCCAUGGUCGCCCCAACCGAAGACAUUUUGAUCAUUUUACGUUGGGUUUUGUGGCCUUUGUGUUCCUUUUGGUUGGUUUGGUUUCUUUACAUGUUUGAUCUUUUGUCUAAAGCUCCAUAGGGUCUUCUCGUCUUAUGUGUUUAUGUCCGCUUCUGCACGGGCAGAUCAAUUUCAUUGACUGGGGGAGGGAGACAGUUAAACCCUCGUUAUGCCAUUCAUACAGGUCUCUAUUUAAAA
rnacentral:rRNA from 1 species